AGAAAGAGAUUUACUUGAGUGGUUGGUUGGUCUUGAGCCUGUUCAGGAUGUAUAUGAUAAUGAAAGAGGUGAUCAAGGUGAUAGGGCAGAAAGUGAUGACGUUUAAGUGAGAUGAAAGUGAUGAGGAGGAAAUCGCCCACGCUGUAGCAUUCAAGUGCAUUGGUGAUGCCCAUGAGAAAAACUACCAACAUCAUUUGGAAAAUUAAAUUAAGACAUAAUACCUCACUCUUCGUGAACAAGAUAAAACAGUGAAUGUAAGAAUAUGGCCAGCACCAUUGAAUCCAAGGGACCCAAGUGCAAUAGGCAAUUAAUUCCAGCUUUUAGUUUAUUUUAUUAAAAGUUUUCAGCAUAAUCAGCAAUAUGAUACCUUACUUCCUGUUGCCCCCUGCACACAUAAAUUAAAAGCUGGAAUUGCCCAUUGACUAGACUAUGGAACUGGAUGACAACAUGUUGGUUAUAUUGCUUUUCAACUAUGCAAGUAUUUGCACCCACUAAUUGCUGCAGAUGUCGUGGAUGUCUAUUGUCUAUGUUCAGUGUAUCAAGUAUAGGGUUGACUUUUUUAAUUAAAAAUGGUGGAUUUUUUAUUUUUUUUAAAGGAGGGGUGGAAACCUUUCAGGGGGGGGGGCAAGCAGCACCACUAAGUGAGCUUUUUACAGGGGUUUGGCAUUAGGGUUAAAGACUUUUGAAGCAAAAUUUUGGUGGGGUUGAACACUUUAUAAGAGGGGUUAGAGAGAUUCUAAGGGGGGGGGGAGGUUAACCCCUCCUAACCCCCCCCCCAGUAAAUCUGCCCAUGAUUUAAUCCAAAAAUUUUCAUAAUGAAACCUGGUGAGUGGAGGCUCAAGUGGUAGGAAAAAGCAUGAGUGUAUGUUGACAGAUGUUUUUAUAUAAUAAAUAGCAAUUAGCUAUGUUUAGCAAGUUAUUAGUGCAUUUAUUUCAAUUCGC